AUCCAGCUGACGAAUCCCGAAUAGGACGAAACGCGCGUCCUGGAU
rfam:Schistosoma rodhaini strain Burundi genome assembly, scaffold: SROB_scaffold0023370